UGGGCCUUUCUUCCAUAUUUCCUGAUAACCCCCUGCAGAAAUAGACAAACACCAAAACUCCCCCAAGCUUACCUCUUGCUCGUCCCUGAGCGAGGAUAGACUCAGCUAUGGAUCAUAAGUUGUUGCAAUAUUUUUAAAAAUUUGACGGUACACAUGCUUUUAAAUAAGAUCUCUUCUCUGAGUUAGAGUAAACUGUCAAGACUUAAAACUUACUUACUUUACCUUCACCAUGGGACUUGUAACCGUCACUUCUAUCUUGAGUGGUUAAAAGAUAGAAUAGUCUAGUCAAGUGCCAUGUCUCUUAUUCUUGAUCAGCUAUAGCUCUAGGGUUUUUGCAGAUUUUCAAAUAAAACUCAGAGAUUCCUUGUAUGAUUCUCUCAGAUCUCUCUUUUGUGGUAUUUCUAGAUCCUUACCAAGGCAGUGAUGGUAUAUGCCUUCUCUCAAUAUAUGUGGUAUUUGUGGUAUAAAGCAUAGUGACAUUGCCUUCUCUCUCACCCUACUCUAAUAAGGCUUUAAUAUCUGGAGCUCAUAGAUGGGAGAUAAAGUAUACAUACUUACAAGACAUGUAUUGCAUAGUCAAACCAUGGAUCCAAAGAAACAAGCCAAUGAGUUUAAUCAAGAUGUGCAUGUGUGGCGAAUGAAUGAUGUAUGGUGAUGAUGGUGAUAACAAUGGUGGUGGAAGUCUAAUUCUACUUUGCUCUUUUGAGGGGAUACAUACCUUUCUUGUUUUUUUGAAACUUUAUGAGGAGAAUGAGAUGCUCUUCUUUUUCUUUUCUCUCAGGUGGGUAUCUUGCACCCCUAAUUCUACUGUCGGACACUUGUCCAUUUUUACCUCUCGUCUCACUCUCUUUUCUAUCGAGGUUCCGAGCACUUGCUCCUUUUUAUUUCCUCGUAUUUCUCUCUCUUUUUCUUUCCAGAGCAUUCAUCUCUUGAGAUAAUAUAGCAAGUGGUAGUAACAAGAUAACUUGUGCAUUUAUUUCACAAGGAAAAACAGAAAUAUUUUUGGCUAUUCUCUCCCGGAUUAGGAGUAGAAUAUUUUUGGGUGAUUCUGGAGAUGGAAUGGGUGGAUAUAUGUGGAUGGUACUUCCGGAAUAGAAGUAGCAUAUAUGAGUGAACGUGCAAGUGAAUCUUGAUUUAACCACAUGACAAAUUCCUAAGGGUCUACACAGCUUGACCACAAUCAAUGCUCAUAAGCAGUAAAUAGUAAAUGUGUGGCUCAAAGUCUAGCAAGCAUGUAUAUAUUGCUGUGGUAGGAAUUUAAACUCUCAUCAUACAGGAACUCAUCAUGCAACACUUUAAAGAUUUUUUAAAAGAUAAAAUUCUCCAGAAUUCUAGCAUCUCUAGGAACAGAUAAACAGCAGCUCAACCUUCCCAUAUCGUAUCCGUUAACAACUUAGACUUCAGAUCAAGUUUUCAUCCCACAAGUUUAGGUCUAGAGCAAGCUUUAAAUUAUAACAGUUAUAUCUAAACUUGAGAGAGAAUUUAAAAUGUGCAAAUUAGGCAGAGCAACUAUUCAUCAUUUCUAUGCUUAAGUUUUAUUUAGAUACAGAUUAGCAUAGCCACUUUAUUUAUUUAUUAAACACACUAAGCCAAAGACAUAUAUAUAAGCAUAAAAUAUUUAUUUGGUUUUUCAUAGUUUAUGUAUUUUAAUAUUCUAAUAUAGUAUAAGUAUAAAGAUAGAUAGAUAGAUAGAUAGAAAUACUUAUCGGGAUAAAUGGGGGUGCUCUCCCCCAAGCUGAAUUUUGACGUAAUUUCUCUUGAUGUAGCUAACAGGUGGCAGAGGUGUAUUUGAAAGUCAGCAGUAUUCUGAUAGCGAUUAGAAUGUCCUCCGUCUGCUAGUCUUCUUGAUUCUUAAAUUCUGUGGAGCUCAAAUUGACAACAAAGCUUGUGGAACUGAUUAAGUGUUAGCAUAAAUAUCUAGCCUUUAUCAUGUUGAGACUCCUUAAUAAUUAUUACUCCAUGUUUUUAUAUUUUUUUUUAUUUUAUAAAGCAGAAAAGAAAUAUUUAUUUUAUUUUUAUACCACCACAGUGAAUGUACUUAUGGGUUUUAUGCCACUCGCAUACUCACAUGGGGCUUACUGUUUUUCGCAUUUUUAUUUUCUUUUAUUUUUAAGAUAGUAUGAACAUGAUUAACUAAGUAAACUAGUUGAAAUAAUUGAAAGGGAAAGGAUAACUACCAAGUUUAUCUCUCGGCAAGGCGUUCGGUGUUUUCAAGUCCUCCGAACGGGACUCUCCAUUUUCUUAAUCGUCCUGAGGUUCGUUGGGUGGCGUAGUCGGUACUUCCGGUGGCGCCUCCUCUUCAUGUAUAGUUAUCUUCAUUUUCCACACCUGACUUGGUGCUUCAGUCUCCUCUGGAUAAUUCUGUUUAAACUCUACGUCUUCUGACCUUAUAACUUCUCCUUCAUAGUCUGCCCAUCCGUCCUUGAUGAUCUGCCUCCUCUGGUUGCGGUUGCGUCUUUUCCUUACCUGCUUAGAUUCUUCAAUGAUAUAGUUAGGGUCAGUAAAAUAACGGCGUACCUUCUCUGAGGGGAAGUGCAUAUGGACUUCUCCGGUUCCAAUGUAGAUAAUUGCUUUAACGGUGCUGAGGAACGGUCUUCCAAGGAUGAUGGGUGGAUCAUACUAAUCUUCUCCCAAGUCAAUAACUUGAAAGUCUGUGUAGACAAAGUGAUCGUCUAUUUUGACUGGGACAUCAGUUACUGUUCCUUUAACUUCUCGAAAUGUCUGAUCUGCCAUCUGGAGCUGAAUGUAUGUUGGUCUUAGGGGCAUGGUUUCGAAGAAGAGCCGAUAGGUGACUGCGGCCAUUAUGUUGACGCCCGAUCCGGUGUCACAAGUUGCCUUGUAGAAGUUGUAUCCAUUGAUGGAGCAAUAGAUGCUUGGCAUUCCUGGGUCGUCCUUCUUGGUCAAAAGCGGUGACUUAAGUUGGUGAUCUUGGCCUCCAUGAACUACAGUGACCAUCUUAGCUGACUCGGUCCACACUUGCUUGUUCCUGUUCCUCCUGUUGGUCCUCUUCCUUGAUUGACGUCUGGAUUGAUCUGGAAUUUGUGUAGUCUUGUUCUUGAAGAAAAAUGUCUCCUUCUUCCCUUUGACGUAGAAACUGAUCUUAGCAGCACUGGCGUAGAUGAUAGCUCCCGUGGUGUUCAAGAAUGGCCUCCCUAAGAUGAUAGGUGCUCUCUCAUCAUUUCCGGUCUCUACCACUACGAAGUCUGCUGGGGCAUAUAAGGUACCAACUCGGAUAAAAAGGUUCUUCACUAUUCCUUUUGGAAAAGUUAUCGUCUGAUCUGCAAACUGCAAACACAUGGUUGUUUCUAAUAAAGGAUAUGUAAAGAAUUUUUCAUAGAGUACCCUGGGUAUAAUGUUGACACUGGAGCCAAAGUCGCAGAGUGCUUCUGGAACGUCCACCAUGCCGAUAGAGAUCGGGAUGACGGGGCGUCCUGGAUCGCCUCUCUUGACCGGCAGAAGGUCAGUAGAAAAUUCAGUGGCGGGGUUACUCCAAUUACCUGCAUCAAACAUGUCUACAAGAUUUGCAGAUUCUAAUCCUUCCGGUUGUGAUGGUAUACCGGGGUUAGUAGUAGGAACAGCAGCAGCUAUUUGAUUUAACUGAGAUUCAAUCAUUUUAUUAAAGCUAAUUUGAUUCUUGAUGGCAGUAGAGAAAUUAUCCAUUCUAUUAUUUUUAUUUUCUAGCAUUUUAUCAUUAGAUGCCAAUUUCUUAGAUAAAUUAUCCGUUAGCUUUCCUUGAUUAGACACUAACUCUCUCAAAGGUGGAAAAUUAUUAGCAUUAUUGUUGUAAGAAUUAUUACCUUGAUAAUUACCUGAGUAGUUAGGCCUCUGUUGAUUCCAACCUUGAUUUUGUUGAGGACGGUUGUAGUAGUAGUUGUUGUUGUUGUUGAUGUAGUUCACAUCCUCAAGCAUCUCAGGGCAGUGGUUGCCUGAGUGUCCAGUGUCUCCACACUCCUCACAAGUCAUGUGAGAGUCGUAGAUGUGCAUAACUUCCUUCUUAUCUCCAGCUCUAUCAUCGAGCUUCUUCAUGAGCAGGUCUAGCUUUGCAGACAGCAUGUCUACCUCCUUGAGCUGAUGCAUACCUCCACCUCUCUUGCGUGUCUGGGUCCUCUCUUCAUUCCAGCUUUGGUUGGACGCCAUCUUCUCCACAAGAGCUGUGGCUUGUGGUAUUGUAAGUGAUAAGAAUGCUCCUCCAGCUGCAGCAUCCAUGGUCUCUCGGGCACUGUUGCCGAGCCCAUGAUAAAACAUCUGCAUCAAUAGCCAACUCUCCAUUCCAUGAUGGGGACAUUCUAGGAUGUAGUCUUGAAAGCGCUCCCAUGCUUCUGGAACAGAUUCAUCAUUUUGUUGCUGAAAACUUGUAAUCUUCCCACGGAGAGCAUUGGUCUUGCCCAUGGGAAAGAACUUAGCCAGAAAGUUUGUUGAGCAGAGUGCCCACGUAGUAUUCGUCUCCUUUGUAGCGUAAAACCACUGCUUCGCUCUUCCUAACAGUGAGAAUGGGAAGAGGCGAAGUAGUAUAGCAUCUUUGGAAACUCCUGAUACGGUGAAUGUGUUGCAAAUCUCCAGGAAGUGUUGUAAAUGAGCACUAGCAUCUUCGUGUGCCUUCCCACAGAACUGGUUGGAUUGCACCAUGUUGAUAAGUCCAGGCUUGAGCUCAAAGUUGCCAUCGAUCUCUGCAGCAGGUCCAGUGCGGAUGUUGUCCGUAGUGGGAGCUGAGAACUCGCGGAUUGAUUUGUUCGCCAUGGCUUCGAACUCUGAAGACAAGUUCCGGUAAUCUUCUUGAUUGGAUGAAGCUUCUUGCUGAAGUGUUGAUGAUCUCUUCUUGAGCUUGGCUCUCGUCUUCUUGAAUAAUGCUUCGGGAUUGUCAACAAAAUUUCCUGGAAGAUGUCUUCUAUUCAUACAUUCCCCUACAUAAGAUGAAAUAGGAAAAUAUAGGGGUAAAACUGUAUGAGAGAAUAGAUAAGCUCAAUCAUAUUAGUGAUGCGAAUGAUAACUCAAAAUCUUUUAUUCCAUUCCUGAUUAGUAAUCAACCUUCCCCGGCAACGGCGCCAAAAAUGCUUGUUGGGUUUUCUUAACAUCAUUACCAAAAGUAGACUAAGUUCUCUAAAUCUAGUAACGGUGCCAAAAAUGCCAAACCUAUCCCUCACACCACUUAAGCCAAGUUGUCAUCCCCAGCAUGAUAUAAGAGACGCGGUAUUGAAAUAUGCAAUUGCUCUUCUAAAUAAAUAAUGAAUGGGAUCUGCAAGCGCACAGAUUAAUACCGAUGUAGCAUUUUAACCGGGAAGUAUUCCAGGUAUCGUUAUUUAUAUUUUUACCACUGGGAAGGGAUUAGCAAUCAACAAUAUUGAUUACAGAAUAGAAUAUGAGAUUGAGCAUCUAUCAUUGCAUGUAUAAUUGAGAACAUUAUAUCUAACUCUUCAUACAGGGAUAAGUGUCACAUGAAAGAUAUAUGAAAUAAUAAUAGUGACAAGGAUAACUAAUCUAAUCUAGCCACAUAAUAAAUAUGAUAAGCACCUCAAUUAGAUACUCUAGAAAGUCAUUAGCAUGGUAUUAGAAUGAACUACAAGAAUAUUCCCUAAGUUAUUCUCAACUAUAUAGUCUAGCAUUAUCAUAGUUAGUGCAAGCAUACUUAGCAAUCAUUGUGAGACAAGACUACGCCCAUGCAUAGUGAUAUUAGCAAGGUAAAUGAGAAACAUAGCAAUCACUCCCCUGUAAUAAUGUUGCUCUGCCAGCCCAAUACACGAGAGGGGGACUAUAUAAGAAUCAAUGAAGCUGUCACUAUCACGAACCACCCAUUGGGUACAAUCGCAGAUAAAUACGGUAUAAGCACCACGCCUACACAAUAUCUAUCAUUUACCCAUGGAUCUGAUGGAUAAACGCUAUACGAUCCUAAGCAUGUAUAUAGAUCGAAUCUAACUAAGCCAAGUACAUAACUAUGAUAAACUAAGAACAAUAUAAUCUUGAAUAUAAGCAAGUAGAGCAAAGUCAUAAGCAAUAUAUUGAAGUAGAACAAAGUCAUAUUCAUAAUAUUGAAGAACAAAGAUAAUUAGAAGAACAAUUAGAAGCACAAUUAGAGAAUUACCAAGAAUCCUCUUGAAAGAUCCGGAAACCAAUCGAAGAUUGACUCCUUCUAGUUCUAAUCCUAUGUAGCUAUGCUAAUCUAGAUAUCUAAUUGAUGUGGUGGCUCUAAUCUUGAUCAGAGGCUUCUUCUCCCUUGAAGAACAAUGAAUUAGGGUUGAGAGGCUCUCUCCUCCAGGGGCCAGGGGGUCUGGUUUUAUAGUCCCUUCAAGUGAAUAUGGGCCAUUGGAUCAAACCGACAUAGAUUAUAUGGUUUAGAUUCAUCCUUUAGGUCGGUGGAGGUCUCCCGCGAAGCAGAGUCCUGAUUGGACUCCUGGAGAGGACGGGCGCCCCGACCAACUGGGCGGGCGCCCAGGGUCUGGCCCCGUUUCGCCUCCGCUUCGGUCUCGUGGCUUCUGGAGUCUUCUAGAUGUAAGAUAAUUGCGCGGCACGUUAACAUCUCUAUGUAAUCCCGACGUGUGGGCCUUUCUUCCGUAUUUCCUGAUAACCCCCUGCAGAAAUAGACAAACACCAAAACUCGUGGAAUUCUGUCAGAUAAAACCCUAAGUCUAGAUGUUGAUUUCAUUUGGAUCCUUUUCUUUGUUUAUUUAAUAAUUAAAUUUGAUACUUAAGGACCGUCAACAAACUCCCCCAAGCUUACCUCUUGCUCGUCCCUGAGCGAGGAUAGACUCAGCUAUGGAUCAUAAGUUGUUGCAAUAUUUUUAAAAAUUUGACGGUACACAUGCUUUUAAAUAAGAUCUCAUCUCUGAGUUAGAGUAAACUGUCAAGACUUAAAACUUACUUACUUUACCUUCACCAUGGGACUUGUAACCGUCACUUCUAUCUUGAGUGGUUAAAAGAUAGAACAGUCUAGUCAAGUGCCAUGUCUCUUAUUCUUGAUCAGCUAUAGCUCUGGGGUUUUUGCAGAUUUUCAAAUAAAACUCAGAGAUUCCUUGUAUGAUUCUCUCAGAUCUCUCUUUUGUGGUAUUUCUGGAUCCUUACCAAGGCAGUGAUGGUAUAUGCCUUCUCUCAAUAUAUGUGGUAUUUGUGGUAUAAAGCAUAGUGACAUUGCCUUCUCUCUCACCCUACUCUAAUAAGGCUUUAAUAUCUGGAGCUCAUAGGUGGGAGAUAAAGUAUACAUACUUACAAGACAUGUAUUGCAUAGUCAAACCAUGGAUCCAAAGAAACAAGCCAAUGACUUUAAUCAAGAUGUGCAUGUGUGGUGAAUGAAUGAUGUAUGGUGAUGAUGGUGAUAAUAAUGGUGGUGGAAGUCUAAUUCUACUUUGCUCUUUUGAGGGGAUACAUACCUUUCUUGCUUUUUUGAAACUUUAUGAGGAGAAUGAGAUGCUCUUCUUUUUCUUUUCUCUCAGGUGGGUAUCUUGCACCCCUAAUUCUACUGUCGGACACUUGUCUAUUUUUACCUCUCGUCUCACUCUCUUUUCUUUCGAGGUUCCGAGCAGUUGCUCCUUUUUAUUUCCUCGUAUUUCUCUCUCUCUUUUUUCAGAGCAUUCAUCUCUUGAGAUAAUAUAGCAAGUGGUAGUAACAAUAUAACUUGAGCAUUUAUUUUACAAGGAAAAACAGAAAUAUUUUUGGCUAUUCUCUCCAGGAUUAGGAGUAGAAAAUUUUUGGGUGAUUCUGGAGAUGGAAUGGGUGGAUAUAUGUGGAUGGUACUUCCGGAAUAGAAGUAGCAUAUAUGAGCGAACGUGCAAGUGAAUCUUGAUUUAACCACAUGACAAAUUCCUAAGGGUCUACACAGCUUGACCACACUCAAUGCUCAUAAGCAGUAAAUAGUAAAUGUGUGGCUCAAAGUCUAGCAAGCAUGUAUAUAUGGCUGUGGUAGGAAUUUAAACUCUCAUCAUACAGGAACUCAUCAUGCAACACUUUAAAGAUUUUUUAAAAGAUAAAAUUCUCCAGAAUUCUAGCAUCUCUAGGAACAGAUAAACAGCAGCUCAACCUUCCCAUAUCGUAUCCGUUAACAACUUAGACUUCAGAUCAAGUUUUCAUCCCACAAGUUUAGGUCUAGAGCAAGCUUUAAAUUAUAACAGUUAUAUCUAAACUUGAGAGAGAACUUAAAAUGUGCAAAUUAGGCAGAGCAACUAUUCAUCAUUUCCAUGCUUAAGUUUUAUUUAGAUAC
rnacentral:lncRNA from 1 species